AAGUCGAGCGGCAGCGACAUCAACAAUCCUUCGGGUGCGUUGAUGGGCGGCGAGCGGCGGACGGGUGAGUAAUGCCUGGGAACAUGCCUUAGUGUGGGGGAUAACCAUUGGAAACGAUGGCUAAUACCGCAUAAUGUCUUCGGACCAAAGCGGGGGACCUUCGGGCCUCGCGCGCUAAGAUUGGCCCAGGUGGGAUUAGCUAGUAGGUGGGGUAACGGCUCACCUAGGCGACGAUCCCUAGCUGGUCUGAGAGGAUGAUCAGCCACACUGGAACUGAGACACGGUCCAGACUCCUACGGGAGGCAGCAGUGGGGAAUAUUGCACAAUGGGGGAAACCCUGAUGCAGCCAUGCCGCGUGUGUGAAGAAGGCCUUCGGGUUGUAAAGCACUUUCAGCAGUGAGGAAGAGGUGGUGUUUAAUAGAUGCCAUCUUUGACGUUAGCUGCAGAAGAAGCACCGGCUAACUCCGUGCCAGCAGC
rnacentral:rRNA from 1 species